rnacentral:rRNA from 1 species
AGCGUAGACGGCUGUGCAAGUCUGAAGUGAAAGGCAUGGGCUCAACCUGUGGACUGCUUUGGAAACUGUGCAGCUAGAGUGUCGGAGAGGUAAGUGGAAUUCCUAGUGUAGCGGUGAAAUGCGUAGAUAUUAGGAGGAACACCAGUGGCGAAGGCGGCUUACUGGACGAUGACUGACGUUGAGGCUCGAAAGCGUGGUAGCAAACA